UGCCCACGGUGUAAAGGUAGGGCGUUGGACUUCUACACCAAGGUGGCGAUCCAAAGAUUGCGGGUUCGACCCCCGCGGGGAG
rnacentral:tRNA from 1 species